ACGGCCGCGGUAUCUUGACCGUGCAAAGGUAGCAUAAUCAAUUGUUUUAUAAUUGAAGACUGGAAUGAAUGGUUGAAUGAAAUAUUAGCUGUCUUAUUUAUAUUUGUUAGAAUUUAACUUUUAAAUGAAGAGAUUUAAAUAUAAUUGAUAGACAAGAAGACCCUGUUGAGCUUAAAAUAAUUUUAAAGGAAUAUUUUAUUAUGUCAGAUAAAUAAAUUUUAAAUUUUUUUUGGUUGGGGCGACUGAGGAAUAAUGAAAGCUUCCUUUAGUAAAAUUAUAUUACUUGAUUUUGAUCCAAUAUAUUGAUUAAAAAAAUAGUUACCACAGGGAUAACAGCAUAAUCUUCUUUGAGAGCUCAUAUCGAAAAGAAGGGUUGUGACCUCGAUGUUGGACUAAAAUAUCCUAUAAAUGUAGCUGUUUAUGAUGGUUG
rnacentral:rRNA from 1 species